rnacentral:lncRNA from 1 species
AGACGCCUACCCCGCCUGAGCCAGAGGAAGGGAGGAAAACAAUAGCAAAAACCAGGACCCUUCGGACUUGCCGCUGAAUGGGGAUUUUCGUCGGAUGUUGAGUUUACCUGGAAUGCCCCGGUGUUAUUUUGGGAAGGCAGACAUCCCACGGAAACAAUGAAGUGGAAAAGAAAACAGCUAAAGCAAAAUCUAGAGCCCAGUUUUUGCCAAACCAGCCCCACGUGGGCUGGGCAGGCUCUGGAAGCCCAAGUCAGGCCGAUGAAGAGCGGCUGAGGCCGUGGGGAUCUGGUUUACCAGGAGGGCACAUGGAGGAUGCAAGAAAAGGAAGAGCCGUAUUCAAGUCCCCACUUCAGUGAUGAGGCAGAAAGACCCUGCGCCUGACCACGUGGGAACAGCCUGCAGUGAGCGGUGACGCCGCCUGGCUUGAGCUAAGUGCUGGGCUCCACCAUUCAUUGGCUGAGUGACCUUAGAUGAGAAGAGAAUGAGCCAUGUGUUUCCUGAAACAUCCAGUGGCCUCACCGGAGAAUCUGCAAGAGCCGGUAAACCCAGAAGCUUGGCCGUCCAUUCCUGGAAGCAGACAUUGUGUCUUCGUCCACCAAGCCCCUGGCUCUCAACACUCACUGUGGUGGCAAGAACAUGGCACCUUGACCCUACACAGUUCUUCCAUUUUUCAGAAGCAGCUCCAGACCCUUGUCCCCAGGUUUUGACCCCACCCAGACCUUUGCCUGGGACGGAAAGCUGCUUCAUUUCAGGAGACACCUGAAGUACCUGGGUUGGUUCAGAGACUACCAGAAGUUUUUGGACUUCUUCUAGUCCUUUAAUGGCCAAAAGGACUCAAGGGCCUGGCAUGUAAUGGAAAAGGCAUCACCUCUCUCAUGGAACGCAGCUGGAAGGACCAACCCCUUCAUAGUUACAGGAAUCUGAGCUAUGAAGACACUAGCCAGGCAACAAGGCCCUGGGCUCAGACACAGAUGAAGUUUCUCUGGAAGAGAAAUCUGGCCUGUUACAGACCUGGGAAGUGCCAAGGCUUAGCUCCUGAGAAGGAUUGCUGGUGCUGACAGCUGGGAGUCAGGACUCCAGGGCCACUUGUAUGGAAGCUGGUGCCCGUGGUGCAGGAGGAUGGGGGCUCUGGAUUCUGCACCACCCCCCAUAGACUGGCCCCUCAGAGGGCUCCUGUGGUGUCAGAGCCCUCUCACAAGCGCCUGCCGUGGUUAUCAGCUGAAGCUGAGUGCUUGUGGAGUGUGGACAGAGGGCAGAGGGAGAGAAGCAGCCAUGGGCUUCCUGCCAGGAAGCUCAGCAGCUCCGAGGAGACUGGAGAGUCAUGGGACACAGUGCGUCCUCCCCAGAACAGCCUCCAGCCUGCCAGUUCAGAGCACACGCUUGGAGGCAGGAAGGCUGAGGUCCAACCCCAUUCCUGCUAUGGGCCAGCUGAGAGCUGUGGACAAGUCAUUCGGCUUCUCUGAGCCGCAGUCUUCUCACCUGUAAAGCGGGGGUAAUAAUACCCUCCUCACAAGGUUGUUGCAAGGCUUUGUGGGGAAAAAUACAAAGUGCACAGAGUUGUUCAGUAAGGCGUGGGCCUGCGGGGAAAGGCGGGGCCAUGAGCUGGCCAGGGGAGGAAAGGACAGAUGGGGACUCCAGAUAAUGAAAGCAUCUUUGCAUCCUCAAUGAUAUAAUCUGGGUUUGUUGUUGUUGUUGUUGUUUGAGACAGAGUCUCGCUCUGUCCCCCAGGCUGGAGUGCAGUGGUGCAAUUUCAGCUCACUGCAACCUGUACUUCCCGGGUUCAAGUGAUUCUCCUGCCUCAGCUUCCUGAGUAGCUGGGAUUACAGGUGCCCGCCACCAUGCCUGGCUAAUUUUUCUGUUUUUAAUAGAGACAGGGUUUCGCCAUGUUGGCCAGGAUGGCCUCGAGCUCCUGACCUCAGCUGAUCCACCCUCCUCAGCCUCCCAAAGUGCUGCGAUUACAGGCAUGAGCCACCGCGCCCGGCCCAUCUGGAGUUUUUUUGUUUGUUUGUUCCUCAUAAAGGCUACGAGGAGAGGAAGGGGCCUAGAACACAGGAUGGUGGAAGAGGGGCUCAUGGGUGGAGGGGAGGAGAGCAGAUGAGCAGGGACCCUCCCCCUUCCUCGGCAACCAUGGGGUUUGCCACACAUAUAUUUUUGAUGUCCCAUGUAUCAGGUGGAGAUGUCAACUUCUAUGAACUGAAAUAAACUGU